CGUGUAGGCGGCUGGAUAAGUGGGAUGUUAAAUCCCCCGGCUCAACCGGGGACCUGCAUCUCAUACUGUUCAGCUCGAGCACAUCAGAGGAGACUGGAAUUCCCGGUGUAGCGGUGAAAUGCGUAGAUAUCAAGUGGAACACCAGUGGCGAAGGCGAGUCCCUGGACAACUCCUGACACUGAGGCACGAAAGCUAGGGGAGCAAACA
rnacentral:rRNA from 1 species